UGAUCUAUUUUUUGAUGGGUGCGGGUUUGGUACAUGUAACUUUAAAUAUCUCAUGACUAGAUCCACACUCAUCCAAGAAUAGAGGC
rfam:Dendroctonus ponderosae Seq01026503, whole genome shotgun sequence.